rnacentral:lncRNA from 1 species
GGGUCAAAGUCAUGACACUUCUACUAUCUAAACUUGAAUUUCAGUUUUGGUGCUUAUUAAACAAAUAAAAGACUGCUUUAAACAUUUUGGUUGUUUAAAUGGAGGUACCUCUACCAUCUAGGUCUUCGGUAUGGCAAUAUUCUAGCUUUAUGUGGUAUUUUGAUUUUGAGUAACUAUUUUUAUAAUGGGUGUGGGCAAUGCUUGC